GGGCAGCUGGUUAGAACCGGUUCCCGGGUCGCGGGCAGUCGUAGAGAAGCAUCGCCAAGCAGAUACGCAGCUCAGGAUUGCAGCCUGACAUACAGCUCGGCUCCACCCGUUUAACCGACAGCCAAUAUGCCCCGCAAGCCGGUUGUGGCUCCAAAACCUGAAGAACUAAGGAGGUCAUCACGAACCAAGCAUUCUGUCCAACCUGCAGCUCCAACCAAGAAGGCACCAGCCAAGAAAGCCAAGAAGCCAAAGGUCACCAAAGGGAAAGCGAGUGAUUCAAACCAGGAUCCUAAUGCUGCUCCAGCCCAAAAUGGGGAAAAUAAAGAGGCAUGAGAAUUGAAAUCUGAUGGGCGAAAGUCUUGUCCAAGUCUGGAGAGUUUGCCAAUCUCCUGUCACUUGUACAAUUGAAAGGAAUAUUUUUAUCAAUUUUUAUAAAUGCAACAUUUUUGUAGGUUGAGUGGGCAGAUGUUGCGAAUUCUUGCAGUGUGUUUUUAUUUUCUGUAGACUUUGUAUACUGACAUGAUGCAUGCUGAAACUGCUUGACAUUAAACUGUUGUAUGCUCCCUCCCUAAACCCCAAAAUUUGACCAUUUUCUAUCUGUACUGUCAGUUGAAGCUGUAUUUGUAAUGUUGGUAGCUGUUAGUGGCAUAUUUUGCUCUCCAUGUGAAAUUAUCAUUCUUGCUUGACAAUUUGACAAUGAAAAAUGUAACUUUUUUUAAAAUUACUGUUUUAAAGUGAAUAUUCUUUGGAAUAUGUUUUGACUCAGUUUUCUGAAUUCAAUCAUAUUUUGCUGAGUAUCAUGGAGUUUUAAAUUUGCUACUUAAAUAAAGUUGGAUACUGUUAUGCUUGGGAA